UACGGAGGGUGCGAGCGUUGUCCGGAAUCACUGGGCGUAAAGGGCGCGUAGGUGGCGUCGCAAGUCAACGGUGAAAGCUCGACGCUCAACGUCGAGUCGGCCGUCGAGACUGCGAGGCUUGAGCACUGUAGAGGCAGAUGGAAUUCCGGGUGUAGCGGUGGAAUGCGUAGAGAUCCGGAAGAACACCGGUGGCGAAGGCGACUAUCUGGGCUGCAACUGACGCUGAGGCGCGAAGGCUAGGGUAGCAAACAGG
rnacentral:rRNA from 1 species